CCUACGGGGUGCAGCAGUGGGGAAUAUGGGACAAUGGGGGCAACCCUGAUCCAGCCAUGCCGCGUGUGUGAAGAAGGCCCUCGGGUUGUAAAGCACUUUCAGUGAGGAAGAACGCCUGGUGGUUAAUACCCAUCAGGAAAGACAUCACUCACAGAAGAAGCACCGGCUAACUCCGUGCCAGCAGCCGCGGUAAUACGGAGGGUGCGAGCGUUAAUCGGAAUUACUGGGCGUAAAGCGCGCGUAGGUGGCUUGAUAAGCCGGUUGUGAAAGCCCCGGGCUCAACCUGGGAACGGCAUCCGGAACUGUCAAGCUAGAGUGCAGGAGAGGAAGGUAGAAUUCCCGGUGUAGCGGUGAAAUGCGUAGAGAUCGGGAGGAAUACCAGUGGCGAAGGCGGCCUUCUGGACUGACACUGACACUGAGGUGCGAAAGCGUGGGUAGCAAACAGGAUUAGAUACCCCUGUAGUC
rnacentral:rRNA from 1 species